rnacentral:rRNA from 1 species
GAUGAACGCUGGCGGCGUGCCUAAUACAUGCAAGUCGAGCGAACGGACGAGAAGCUUGCUUCUCUGAUGUUAGCGGCGGACGGGUGAGUAACACGUGGAUAACCUACCUAUAAGACUGGGAUAACUUCGGGAAACCGUAGCUAAUUCCGGAUAAUAUUUUGAACCGCAUGGUUCAAAAGUGAAAGACGGUCUUGCUGUCACUUAUAGAUGGAUCCGCGCUGCAUUAGCUAGUUGGUAAGGUAACGGCUUACCAAGGCAACGAUGCAUAGCCGACCUGAGAGGGGGAUCGGCCACACUGGAACUGAGACACGGUCCAGACUCCUACGGGAGGCAGCAGUAGGGAAUCUUCCGCAACGGGCGAAAGCCUGACGGAGCAACGCCGCGUGAGUGAUGAAGGUCUUCGGAUCGUAAAACUCUGUUAUUAGGGAAGAACAUAUGUGUAAGUAACUGUGCACAUCUUGACGGUACCUAAUCAGAAAGCCACGGCUAACUACGUG